AUUGAACGCUGGCGGCAGGCCUAACACAUGCAAGUCGAACGAGUGGCGGACGGGUGAGUAAUGUCUGGGAAACUGCCUGAUGGAGGGGGAUCACUACUAGAAACGGUAGCUAAUACCGCAUACCAUCGGAUGUGCACAGAUGGGAUUAGCUAGUAGGUGGGGUAAAGGCUCACCUAGGCGACGAUCCCUAGCUGGUCUGAGAGGAUGACCAGCCACACUGGAACUGAGACACGGUCCAGACGCCUACGGGAGGCAGCAGGGGGGAAUAUUGCACAAUGGGCGCAAGCCUGAUGCAGCCAUGCCGCGUGUAUGAAGAAGGCCUUCGGGUUGUAAAGUACAGUCAGCGGGGAGGCGUUACCAGCAGAAGAAGCACCGGCUAACCCCGUGCCAGCAGCCGCGGUAAUUC
rnacentral:rRNA from 1 species